CAGCCGCCACGGUAAUACGAAGGGGGCUAGCGUUGCUCGGAAUGACUGGGCGUAAAGGGCGCGUAGGCGGCGAUCAAAGUCAGGCGUGAAAUUCCUGGGCUCAACCUGGGGGCUGCGUUUGAUACUUGGUUGCUAGAGUGAGGAAGAGGGUCGUGGAAUUCCCAGUGUAGAGGUGAAAUUCGUAGAUAUUGGGAAGAACACCGGUGGCGAAGGCGGCGACCUGGUCCUUGACUGACGCUGAGGCGCGAAAGCGUGGGGAGCAAACAGGAUUAGAUACCCCCGUAGUCCCUGUCUCUUAUAC
rnacentral:rRNA from 1 species